rnacentral:rRNA from 1 species
AGACCCGAAACCCGGUGAUCUAGCCAUGGGCAGGUUGAAGGUUGGGUAACACUAACUGGAGGACCGAACCGACUAAUGUUGAAAAAUUAGCGGAUGACCUGUGGCUGGGGGUGAAAGGCCAAUCAAACCGGGAGAUAGCUGGUUCUCCCCGAAAGCUAUUUAGGUAGCGCCUCGUGAAUUCAUCUCCGGGGGUAGAGCACUGUUUCGGCUAGGGGGCCAUCCCGGCUUACCAACCCGAUGCAAACUGCGAAUACCGGAGAAUGUUAUCACGGGAGACACACGGCGGGUGCUAACGUCCGUCGUGAAGAGGGAAACAACCCAGACCGCCAGCUAAGGUCCCAAAGUCAUGGUUAAGUGGGAAACGAUGUGGGAAGGCCCAGACAGCCAGGAUGUUGGCUUAGAAGCAGCCAUCAUUUAAAGAAAGCGUAAUAGCUCACUGGUCGAGUCGGCCUGCGCGGAAGAUGUAACGGGGCUAAACCAUGCACCGAAGCUGCGGCAGCGACACUCAGGUGUUGUUGGGUAGGGGAGCGUUCUGUAAGCCUGCGAAGGUGGCCUGUGAGGGUUGCUGGAGGUAUCAGAAGUGCGAAUGCUGACAUAAGUAACGAUAAAGCGGGUGAAAAGCCCGCUCGCCGGAAGACCAAGGGUUCCUGUCCAACGUUAAUCGGGGCAGGGUGAGUCGACCCCUAAGGCGAGGCCGAAAGGCGUAGUCGAUGGGAAACGGGUUAAUAUUCCCGUACUUGGUGUUACUGCGAAGGGGGGACGGAGAAGGCUAUGUUGGCCGGGCGACGGUUGUCCCGGUUUAAGCGUGUAGGUGUGUGUUCCAGGUAAAUCCGGUUCACUUUAACACUGAGGCGUGACGACGAGGCACUACGGUGCUGAAGCAACAAAUGCCCUGCUUCCAGGAAAAGCCUCUAAGCAUCAGGUAACAUCAAAUCGUACCCCAAACCGACACAGGUGGUCAGGUAGAGAAUACCAAGGCGCUUGAGAGAACUCGGGUGAAGGAACUAGGCAAAAUGGUGCCGUAACUUCGGGAGAAGGCACGCUGACAUGUAGGUGAAGUGAUUUACUCAUGGAGCUGAAGUCAGUCGAAGAUACCAGCUGGCUGCAACUGUUUAUUAAAAACACAGCACUGUGCAAACACGAAAGUGGACGUAUACGGUGUGACGCCUGCCCGGUGCCGGAAGGUUAAUUGAUGGGGUCAGCGCAAGCGAAGCUCCUGAUCGAAGCCCCGGUAAACGGCGGCCGUAACUAUAACGGUCCUAAGGUAGCGAAAUUCCUUGUCGGGUAAGUUCCGACCUGCACGAAUGGCGUAAUGAUGGCCAGGCUGUCUCCACCCGAGACUCAGUGAAAUUGAACUCGCUGUGAAGAUGCAGUGUACCCGCGGCAAGACGGAAAGACCCCGUGAACCUUUACUAUAGCUUGACACUGAACAUUGAGCCUUGAUGUGUAGGAUAGGUGGGAGGCUUUGAAGUGUGGACGCCAGUCUGCAUGGAGCCGACCUUGAAAUACCACCCUUUAAUGUUUGAUGUUCUAACGUGGACCCGUGAUCCGGGUUGCGGACAGUGUCUGGUGGGUAGUUUGACUGGGGCGGUCUCCUCCUAAAGAGUAACGGAGGAGCACGAAGGUUGGCUAAUCCUGGUCGGACAUCAGGAGGUUAGUGCAAUGGCAUAAGCCAGCUUGACUGCGAGCGUGACGGCGCGAGCAGGUGCGAAAGCAGGUCAUAGUGAUCCGGUGGUUCUGAAUGGAAGGGCCAUCGCUCAACGGAUAAAAGGUACUCCGGGGAUAACAGGCUGAUACCGCCCAAGAGUUCAUAUCGACGGCGGUGUUUGGCACCUCGAUGUCGGCUCAUCACAUCCUGGGGCUGAAGUAGGUCCCAAGGGUAUGGCUGUUCGCCAUUUAAAGUGGUACGCGAGCUGGGUUUAGAACGUCGUGAGACAGUUCGGUCCCUAUCUGCCGUGGGCGCUGGAGAACUGAGGGGGGCUGCUCCUAGUACGAGAGGACCGGAGUGGACGCAUCACUGGUGUUCGGGUUGUCAUGCCAAUGGCACUGCCCGGUAGCUAAAUGCGGAAGAGAUAAGUGCUGAAAGCAUCUAAGCACGAAACUUGCCCCGAGAUGAGUUCUCCCUGAGACUUUAAGUCUCCUGAAGGAACGUUGAAGACGAC